GGGAGUCAUGGAGACGCCAAGAGCUAUCCACUCUUGUCCAUCCGAAGUCACCAGCUCCUUGAUCUGUAGGGUAGUGUCAUUUACAGGGGCUCUGACCGGGGGAGGCACGUAGUUUGCACGAAGCACUGUGUUUCUCUGGUACAGCAGAGAUGUCUUAGACAAGACCAAGUGGAAAGCUACUUACGAUGUGGCAGCAACCCUCCGAGGCCCAUUUCUAAAAUGGCAAAUAUUGUAGUGAUCGCGGUCUGGACCUUAGCGCCCGGUUUCCGUGCCGAGGAUCUUCGGAGUUGUCCGUUUACCUCUACCUCAGUUUCUCUCAGCUACUCCAGCGUGGGGACCAUGAAAUUUGAAAGGGUUCUCUGAAAACGAAGGCAUCAGGAAAGGCUCACGUCAGUUGAUUAUGGGGAGUGUAAAGCAUCAUUGUUUGUCAUGGCUUUACUGGUUCCUUGUUUAAUUAGGGCGCCAAUUUCCAACGUGUACUUGAAAGUUUGGCAUUUGGGAUGACAUUAUAAAAAAGUUGUAGUAUAUGGUGCGCAUUUCUUGGUUUUUGUUUUUUUGCUCUUUCUUGAGUAAACAAAAUGAAGUGGGAACCAGAGCUUCACUGAAAUCUUAAGCUUUGUUAUUUAAUGAGCAAAGCUAGUCAAAAAUAUUUGUCUACAGGAAAAAAGUGUGUAGUUUGCCAGAUUACUCCCACACAAAAGAUUCAUAAAAAUUAGUUUGCUUAAACACUACAAAGUGGUAGGUAUAGUGUGUGUGUGCACUUCUGGUUUUUGCAAGGUUAGGAGACACCUUUGGUUGUUUUACGCUGUUUGCUGGGUACGUCUAGUGACUUUCUGCUGCGUUGCUUUCUCUGUGUGUGUGUGUGGGUCUGUGUGUGUGUGUGUGUGUGUGUGGGUGUGUGUGUGUGCGAGAGAGAGAGAGAGAGAGAGUGUGCGCCCGCGCUCCUGUUCUUUGUUGGUGAGGUUAGUGCACAUUGACAACAGCAAGGCUCCUUUUUCACAACUGGAAUUUGUAGAACCUUUGGGAGUUCAAAGAAUGAGUAUUGAGAAUGCAUCUGUUCGUUUUGUGAUGUGUCCCAUGAAUUUAAUGUUCAAAGGGUUUUUUUGGGGAGGCAUUUUGUGUGUAUGAUAUUUAUGUAUACUGUUUUCCCAAGCUUUUCAUGAUAGGGUUACUAAGAAAGAAUUGAGGAGCACUGGCGUUUUAGGGAACAGGUCUUACUACACCCUACAAAUGUGUUCUGUUGUAACAGACCAUUUUCAAAUUAAUAGUGUGAAUUCCCAAUCCAGUAUAAUUUUGAGGGUUCACAUAGACAAAAAUGAAUUGUCUUUUGCUGUAGCCCUUGAGGUAUUAUAAAACAGUAAAAACUGUGAAGAUAAAACAAACAUUUAGCUUCCAGAAAUAGGGAAUAUUAUAAAUUAAACAACAUUCAAAAUUUGACAUCAUUCAAAACUACCCAUCAUUAGUUAAUUUAGUUACUGAUGGCCACUCAGACCUGUGCCUUCUGUAUGCUCAAGAGACACAUUAUUUUACUCAUUUUCUAUAACAGUCCUUGAGAGUGUUCUCAGAUUCUUGGUGGUUCUGAGUAGUAAGUCCCCUAAUGCCUGGCUGGGGUGGGGGGUGGGGGGACUCAAGCAUAUGGAGAGAUCUAGAGAAAGAUGUGCAUCGUCAGCUGUGAUUCCAUUGUGUGCUCUGACUGGAUGUGAGCCUUCUUCCUCCUGGGAAUUUCAGUCUUAACAGAGGACUUCUUUUACUUUUAGAUGUCACGAUACUGAAGCAGAGGAUAGAAAAGAAGCUCACCAAUUACAAAUUUAGUAUUUUUUAGAUAGUUUAGCUCUGAUUGAUUUUUAACCCUUUAUUGGUUCAGUAUAAUUUAAAUAACUUGCGCUCAGUGUUAGAGGAGCAUUUUCUUAGAAACCGAAAUUGCCAGGCUGAGAGGGGACGUGGGCUGUGGUGUGAGAGCGCCCGAAGGGACAUUGCUGCUUAGUUGGCUUAAUCUUUAGUUAUGUCUUAUUAAAGCUUUGCAGACCUCAGAAGCGAGGAUCUAUGAACAGUGCUUUCAUUACACACCCUAUACUUAAGGAUUCACUACCUUUGCAGUUUCAGAUCACAUCAUGUUGAAAUGUGACCCACAAGUUGACAGCUUGGAGUUCCCAGAAAAAAUUUUGUGUUGUAUUGGGUUUAAGGGGGAUGCUUUUAAGUAGUCAUUAGGAUGUUGGGU
rnacentral:lncRNA from 1 species